GAGAGAGAGAGAGAGAGAGCAUUGCUUUGAUUGUAUUCUGUUCCAGAUCUACAUGCAUGGAAAUCCCAGUCAAGCUAUUAGCUGAAUUUAAUUUUACUUGCGUAAACUUGCCAUAAUUCUGCAGGUUGCUGCUGGUGCCGCGCUAGGGAGCAUUGUGGCAUUUCUCAUGAGAAGUUCCUAGGGGAUGAUAUCGCUAUUGAUGAUUCUGACCUAUUUAGUGAACACUGAACAGGCUCUUCUCAUUCUUGCAAAUAUAUUUACUCCUCCAUAGAAGAAUCAAACCUUUUGCUUUGUGUGGCUGUACUCAUUGUUAUUGCCUGGGGUCUUCUAUUCUCAUGUAGGAUUACUUGACUGAGUGAUGUAUGUAAAAAUUUAUUUGCAUACGAUUGUCUUCAAAUAUCCAUGCAAGAAAGUUGUAAAGUUGACACUGCAUGAUAAUAAAACUAUCAGUUGC
rnacentral:misc_RNA from 1 species